rnacentral:rRNA from 1 species
GCAGUCGAGCGGACCAUGGGAGCUUGCUCCCUGAUGUUGGCGGCGGACGGGUGAGUAACACGUGGGUAACCUGCCUGUAAGACUGGGAUAACUCCGGGAAACCGGGGCUAAUACCGGAUGCUUGAUUGAACCGCUGGGUUCAAUUAAAAAAGGUGGCUUUUGCCUUCCACUUACCCAUGGACCGAUGGCCCAUUUGCUAGUUGGUGAGGUAACGGCUCCCACAAGCCACAAUGCGUCUCCGACCUGAAAGGGUGAUCGGCCACCUGGGACCUGAUCCACACUCCAAACUCCUGCGGGAGGGGGCAAUAGGGAAUCUUCGGCACUGGCCAAAACUCUCACGGACCCACGCGUCGAGAAUGACUAAGGUUUUCGAAUCCUAUAUCUUGGUUGUUAGGGAAAAACAGCUACCGUCCGAUUGGGGCGGUACCUCCCCAGUACCUAGCCCGAAAGC